UACGGAGGGUGCAAGCGUUAAUCGGAAUUACUGGGCGUAAAGCGCACGCAGGUGGCUGAGUAAGUCGAUUGUGAAAGCCCUGGGCUUAACCUGGGAAUCGCAGUCGAUACUGCUCGGCUAGAGUAUGGGGGAGGGUAGUGGAAUUCCCGGUGUAGCGGUGAAAUGCGUAGAUAUCGGGAGGAACAUCAGUGGCGAAGGCGGCUACCUGGCCCAAUACUGACACUCAGGCGCGAAAGCCAGGGGAGCAAACGGG
rnacentral:rRNA from 1 species